rnacentral:lncRNA from 1 species
CUUGUUUCUAGAUUGCAGCAGGUAUCUUUCACAGAGCUGAAGCUUCUCCAAGGGAAUGAUUUUCCCUUUUUUUUUUUCCCCUCAGGCAUUUCAAUAGGAAAGUUAAAAAUAAAUGAAACAAAUCAAUGCCUUUUGGCUGCUGCUGUUUCAGCUGAUGCCUCCUCUAGCAAAACACAAGCUUGAUAUGGUGCCUGAGAGCUCUUCACAAGAGAAAAUGGGUUUCUCCACACAAGAUUUUACAACUGCAGCCUUCCAUCCUUAUGAUUUUGAGUGAUGUUUUGCUUCUGAAUGUUUAUGCUUUCCAGCUAUGAGUGAAUAUAUGAAAUAGCUCUUCUGUGCAGUGGGAAGCAACCUAACGAGCCUGAGCUACACUGAGGGCACUGGAGGAGUUUACAAAUGUGUGGAGAGCAUGUGCUGAGCAACCCAGGGGAUACCACUCAAGGGAGUCCUCUGACAAAACUGGAGACAGCAUUGUGCCUGGAGCAGAACAGAAAAUCAACCUAAGCAAAAAAAGGAGCAUCCUACUCUCCAGUUGAAUGCAUUUCACAGGAAGCCAGAAGAGGUUUUGGAUGGCAAAAUUGGAUAAGAGGAUUUACAUACUGGACACUUUUAGUAAAAAGAGACUCAGAAGAAGAGUACAGCCAGUCUGCUGCUCCACUGGUCAAGGUUUGCUGUCUAGAGUUUCCACAGUUAAGCCAGGGACUGGCUUCCUACAGCUGGUUACCAGCUCAACACUUGAAGCACAGCUCAUCUUUGACAAAGUCCCAAGAUGCUGAGUGUGGUACCAAUCUCAGCAUGCAUGGGCAACACCAGCUCUGGAGUCUCUUGAACAGCAG